rnacentral:rRNA from 1 species
AUAUCACUAGGCGGAGGAAAAGAAACUAACAAGUAUUCCCGGAGUAACGGCGAGUGAAAUGGGAAAAGCCCAGCACCGAAUCCCGCAGUGUUUCAUUGUUGGGAAAUGUGGUGUGAAGGAGGUACUAUCUGGCGUUGUCGAGCACUCUAAGUUCCCUUGACUGGGGCCACAGUCCGUAGAAGGUGCAAGACCUGUGAGAGUGUUCGACGCGACAGUGUGUGUUUCCGUGGAGUCGGGUUGCCUGAGAUCGCAGCUCAAAGCAGGUGGUAAGCCUCACCUAAGGCUAAAUAUGGCCAUGAGACCGAUAGCGCACAAGUA